rnacentral:ncRNA from 1 species
GACAAUGCAUGGAUGGGAAGUUAGUAACGGUCCCGCACCCUGCAGAGAGCUGCCGGUCGGUGCAAGGCAGCAGGGCAGCAGACCGCGAACUGAUCCCGGAGCAGACCGCCCGAAAUCACAGUAGGGCGGUACGGGCGCACCCGUUACAGUGCCGGGCCUUGUUGGAGGCCCAUGAGGUGGGGGCACUGCCCCAAUAAGAGUGGUACCGCAGAGCUAUACACAGGCUUUGUCUCUUGG